AGCCAACCCGGAAGGAUCCGCCAGUGCUUGAUUCCAGAUCAGUCGGGUUUAGUACGGGCACUGCAAAGUUUACACCAAAAAGAAAAGAGAAAAGAAAACUACCGUACACGUUCAAUGUUAUUAAGAUCAAGGAUAGGAUCAUGUGAUUUUCUAGUCCACUCUCACUCAUCCCUCUCCCCAUCCCUAUCCUUUAACAAAAUCUUCCCAUUUUAAGAUCGAGGAUGGAAGCUGCAGUAGUCCGUGGUCCACCAUUGAUAAACGUCGCCGCUGUCUGCGGUUCCCUUCGCAAAGGCUCUUACAACCGCGGCCUCCUUCGAGCUGCAAUGGAGAUAUCUAAGGAGUCAGUUAAGGGUUUGAACAUAGAGUAUGUGGACAUAUCGCCAUUGCCAUUUCUAAAUACGGACUUGGAGGUUGAUGGGACAUAUCCUGCAGAAGUUGAGGCUUUUAGGGAAAAGAUUCAACAAGCUGAUUGCUAUCUCUUUGCUUCUCCAGAGUAUAAUUACUCUGUUACUGGACCUCUGAAAAAUGCAGUUGACUGGGCAUCUAGACCUCCAAAUGUUUGGGCCGAUAAAGCAGCUGCAAUUGUUAGUGCUGGAGGAAGUUUUGGUGGGGGACGAUCGCAGUAUCAUCUCCGGCAGAGCGGAGUUUACCUUGACCUUCACUUCAUCAACAAACCUGAGUUUUUCCUUAAUGCAUUUGAAAAGCCUGCAAAGUUUGAUAGUGAAGGCAAUUUGCUUGAUGCUGCUGCUAAAGAGAGGUUAAAGGAGGUUCUUUUAUCCCUGCAAAGGUUUGCAUUACGACUUCGAGGAGAAUCUGAAUGAUAUUACCCAAGGAAAUGCUUUUGAAGUUCAGAAGAAUCGGACAAGUGGGAAAAGUACAUUGCAGCAAUAGCCAGAUCAGCAUCCUUUACAUGGUAGUUGGUAGUACCAUUCUUGUGUGGAUUUUUUGUUAAAGAAGUUUGGAAGUAAAGUUCCAAAUGAAUCUUAGACCUUUGUUUUGCCCAGGACAAUUGUAUUGCAGUUUGCAUGCAAAGUUUUCUUAUCUUCAUUUCUCUUGCAUCCAUUACUCUCAGAGUUGUGCUCAGUUGAUUGUGAUACCUGAUUUUGGCUUCUGGCUUGAUAAGGCUAUUAUCUAUGUCCUGUGUCUUUACGUACUUCCAGUUUUUCUAGAGGUCACGCAAGCUGAAAAUCAAAAUAAAUAUGAUUGAUGCUUUUCAGGUGUGAAUCAUAAGCCCUCUCUCUCUCUCUCUCUCUCUCUCUCUCUGUUGUGGAGUCAUGUUUUUAGGGUAAACAUAUUUGCAUUCCAAUAAAAUUUCUAGAGAAUCAAAAUGUGUCAUCUCCAUUGUUCUUCACUCACACUUUAUCUCUCUUACUGAAAAAAUAAAACCCUCCUCUUUCACCUACUCAACAAUACGAUCUGCAAAACUGAGAAACUUCUGGCAAUCUAGUGGAUAUGCAACAAAGCACUCACAUGGUGCCAUCACCCCCCCCCCCCAGGCAAUGGUAGCGGAAAAGAGGUAUAAUUUUUGGUUUCUUUUCUUUUCUUUCAGUUACACCUCACUGUUUUAUUUAUUUAUUUUUUUUACGGUGCUUCAAUUUUUACUAUAAAAGCAGUAUGUCAUUUAUGAAUUUUUAAGAGGUGCUGGCAAAUCUUCAAGGAUACAUGUAUUUGUUAUUGUAGAUUUUUGCAUGGUUUUUGGUUGAAAAUUUGGUUACUAUCAGGUCAUCCACUUGUCAAAACUUUUAACACUUUAGUUUCCUGAGUGGGCCACAUCAUUUUCAAGUUAGUUGUGUCGUUGGAUCUAUGGAUGAUAUCUAGAUAUUUACUGAUAUCAGCCAAAUGAAUGUUUGAACAGAAUUUUUAGUUGUUGGCAUGGUAGAAUUUGUAGGAUUACAAGACUCGGUUUUCUUUAAUGUGUGGAAGUUCUUUUGGUUUUUCAUGCCCUACAUUCCCCGUUUAUAUUAGAAAAUUUGUUUUUUCCAUUGCUUGCUUUUAAGAGUCCAUAAUCUUUGUUUAAUGCUGGUGGUGAUCACUAAGAAUGAUUGGUUUUUGUUUUUACCAACAAUGUUCUCAAAGAUAUGAUUUUGGACUGCAAUUCGUAGUUUCUGAAAUGGAUGGAACAGCCACCUAGUUCUGUUUUUACAGAAUAUACUGCCGGAUGAUAACUGGGCUGUAUUAUGUUAUUUGUGCAAGGGAGAGGGUCAAAGAAUCUUCACUGGCUACACAUGGAAUCCAAUGGUUCAGCAGUGUAUACAUUAUCAAAGUUCCGUGUGUAGUCAUGUAGUUCUGACCCCGGGCAUGUUCAGUGUGUUUAGUUGUGUAGUAAUUUAAUUUGUUAGGAGAGGAGUGAUUAAUUGAGCAGCAGCAGCAACCAUCGAGAAAAUUUCAACUUAUGUAUGACCGACCAAUCAUAGAUGGCCAGCCAGAGUUUACAAAGUUUGAGACUUGUACACAGGAAACCCGUAUGCCUGUCUUCUGUAUGUCAAAGGUGCGUUAAAUAGGGAUGGAACCAGAAUCAUCAUCAUGAGCAAAAAUCCAGUUGGAAUUUUAUUACAUGUGUAACACAAUCAAAUGAAUGGUUAAGGACCAAGUUUCUGCGCCUUGUAUGUAAAAGUUAGGCUGAUUGCAAAGGUAUGAUGCCUUUCCAAAACAAGGUGUGGCCAAGCCACGAUGUAACCUGGUGUAUACCAAAAUGAAGGUGGCUUGUAUACCGUGGAAAUUGCAAGAAGAUGCCUCAUUGGGACGAAUUUGACGCAUACAUAGGCUCAGAGAGAGGUUACUAAUUGGGGAUUCUGUGAAAGGUUGCAAGAAAUAUUUAUGGUCCUCUUAUGUUCCACAGGAAUGAUGGCUAAGAUAACAGAAUUUCAGCUAAGUGAAAUACUAUACCAUAACGUACUGAAGUUAUCCGGGUGCAAAGAGGCUGAACUGUUUAAAGCGCAGAUGAAUAGGCAACUAGCAGACGUAGAAAUGAACAGGGUCUGAUAAUUUCAUUCUUUUCAUUUUUGGUUUUUGCAGCGGCGAAUUGGUCAGGUAUCCUUGGCAGCUAAAUUUGUAUUUUUUUCAUAUUUCUUUACACUUUAACUGUUGGAAACAGGAGUUUCUUAUGAUAUGAUGUGCUAAUGGUGGUGAAGUUUA